AUUACAAGGACAUUUAUGCCAACCAGUACAGUGGUCUAAGUUGAAGUUUUGAGUAGGAUAUGAAGUUCUAUUUAGUCCCAUUCGGAGGCAAAAGAGAACUCACUGCAUAAUAGAGUUUCAAGUUCAGAAGGAACUAUAACUAAUGUACUGUCUCUGACCUAUAAUAGGUGCUCAAAAAAUGUAUGUUGAAUUAAUUCAACAAAAUUCCUCUACUUCACCUCAUCAGGUGGUUAUCUAGUGUCUCCUUUACCUCUCCAAUGGGAGCAAAUCUAUAAUUUCCCAAAGCAGAAAGACCUGGGCAGUUCGAACUGUCAGAAAGUUUUUAUCUGGGCCAGGUGCGGUGGCUCACGUCUAUAAUAUCAGCACUGUGCAUCUUUACUAAAACUACAAACAUUAGCCGGGCAUGGUGGUGCACACCUGUAAUCUCAGCUACUCAGGAGGCUGAGGCAGGAGAAUUGCUUGAACC
rnacentral:lncRNA from 1 species